AGAGUUGAUCAUGGCUCAGAGUGAACGCUGGCGGCGUGCUUAACACAUGCAAGUCGAACGCGAAGGGUAGCAAUACCCGAGUAGAGUGGCGAACGGGUGAGUAAUAUGUGGGUAAUCUGUCUUCCAGAGGGGGAUAACCCGGCGAAAGCUGGGCUAAGACCGCGUAACAUUUAGAUUACUAAGGUGAUUUAAAUCAAAACAUGGCCUCUAUUUAUAAGCCAUGGCUGGGGAGGUGAGCCCACAGCCUAUCACGCUUGUUGGUGGGGUAAAGGCCUACCAAGGCGACAACGGGUAGCCGGCCUGAGAGGGUGUCCGGCCACACUGGAACUGAGGCACGGUCCAGACUCCUACGGGAGGCAGCAGUGGGGAAUUUUUCGCAAUGGGCGCAAGCCUGACGAAGCAACGCCGCGUAGAGGAUGAAGGCCCUCGCGGUCGUAAACUCUUGUCUAGCGGGACGAAAGUGUACUGGAAGAAUAAGCCAGUAUAUUGACUGUACCGCUGGAGGAAGCUCCGGCCAACUCCGUGCCAGCAGCCGCGGUAAUACGGAGGGAGCAAGCGUUACUCGGAAUUACUGGGCGUAAAGGGCGCGUAGGCGUUUUUUCAAGUCUUGCGUGAAAGCCCCGAGCUUAACUCGGGAAGUGCACAAGAUACUGGAAAAAUAGAGUUCCGGAGAGGAAGAUGGAAUUCCCGGUGUAGCGGUGAAAUGCGUAGAUAUCGGGAGGAACACCAGUGGCGAAGGCGAUCUUCUGGACGGAUACUGACGUUGAGGCGCGAAAGCUAGGGGAGCAAACAGGAUUAGAUACCCUGGUAGUCCUAGCCGUAAACAAUGUGCACUUGGUGUAAGCCGGUUUUCGGUUUGUGCCGAAGUUAACGCGAUAAGUGCACCGCCUGGGGAGUACGGUCGCAAGUCUGAAACUCAAAGGAAUUGACGG
rnacentral:rRNA from 1 species